rnacentral:lncRNA from 1 species
AAUCCAUGAAAUUGCUCACGAAGUGGGAACAAACACAGAUUUUAACGGAGGAUUUCUGCAUGCGAUCAAUCAACAAGACGUAAGCAAAAACACAUUUACAUAUGUAGAACUUGUGAAACCUGUUAUAACAGUAAUAUUGUAGAGAUGAUACUGCAGAAUGGUGCUGAUGUUGGAAUGAAGACAACCGGUCUUGAAACACUUCCUUGUAUCAUCAGUCUGAAAUAUGGGGCUGAACUCAAUACAAAGACUAUGAAUGGUGAAGCAAUUCUAUCAUCCGGUUAUUCUAAUAGAUACAUCAUUGUGAUAUUUGCUACUCAUAUAAAUGAUGGUGAUGUUGGUGGUUGUGUCACGUGGAGCAGUUUUAAAGUAUUUUCUUAGGAAUUAAAAACGUUCCCCAGGAAAACAUUAAGUAAAACCAUUUCUGCAACACAGCAGAACAGUUUCAAAAUGUUGAACAAAAGUUUCUUUAAAAGAAAAUGUGUACCUGGAAAUCUAAGAACUCAAAUAAAUAUUUACCUUUUAAAUUAAAAAGUGA